GAAAUUAUUAAAUGUCACCAGUUGAUUGAUGCCACCUGGGGCUACGAUGCCAUCUUUGUUUUGGGCUUACUGUUCACUGCAUUGGCAAAAAGGAAAAAAGUACGAAAGGGAAAGACGGGCAGGAAGGAAGGGAUGUUAUAUCUCGCACUCUUUAAAAGUAAAAAAUAGAAAAUAAAGACCUUGUCCUGUUUGUAGGUGUAAAGUGAGAGCGAGAGAGAUCAGUGUGUUGAAUAAUUGCAAACAAUAGGUGGUGAAAAAUAGAGGAAACGUUCUCGGAAGCCACCACCUCAUUGUAGAAAUCCCCGCACCAAAUCCAGGCUUCCUUUAACCAGCCUCCUCCUGGUGACAAAUGCCACGCUGUGAUUGGUUAAUGGCUUUCUUCUGAGUGGCAGCCAUCCUAUGGGGUCGUCCAAACCGAGGAAAAUGGAAGGGGAGUGAAAGGCGCCAAUCUGUACGACUAAUGAGAUAUCGGAGCUGACAUCUUUGUGGUUUUGGUUGCAGUCCCCACAUGGUUGGAUAAAAUUGAAUAACUCAUGACAUUUUCAAAGGAGAUAUUGAAUGAACACUGCUGACCUUCAAUAAAUCCAUUCUUAACUCAUAUGCUAUUAAGAUAAAAGAUGGAGAACAUACACAGUUGGCGUUGUGGGGAAGCAGUACCAUGUGAUUCAGAUCAUGUGGUUUUGGGUAGAAGCAUUUUUAAAUCGAGCUGCAUGGCCUGGUUAGUCAGUUACUUCACCAUCUUGAUCAAGACUGUGAUUUCAACAGCAACAGCUGGAUAGUUUCCAAUAUAUAUUGUUAAACCCAUGUGUUAUGAUGUUUGCAAUGUAGGCUUUAGGUGAAACUUUUCAUCAAACAUUUAAGAGAUGGAUAUUAAUAUUUGUACAUAUAUUCAUGCUGCACUUAGAAUAAACUGUGUCAUGUUUGAUCAUCAUCUUUUGAUUUGAUUCAGUUUUUU